rnacentral:rRNA from 1 species
UACGUAGGGUGCGAGCGUUAAUCGGAAUUACUGGGCGUAAAGCGUGCGCAGGCGGUUAUAUAAGACAGAUGUGAAAUCCCCGGGCUCAACCUGGGAACUGCGUUUGUGACUGUACGACUAGAGUGCGGCAGAGGGGGAUGGAAUUCCGCGUGUAGCAGUGAAAUGCGUAGAUAUGCGGAGGAACACCGAUGGCGAAGGCAAUCCCCUGGGCCUGCACUGACGCUCAUGCACGAAAGCGUGGGGAGCAAACAGG